rnacentral:rRNA from 1 species
CCUACGGGAGGCAGCAGUGAGGAAUAUUGGUCAAUGGACGAGAGUCUGAACCAGCCAAGUCGCGUGAAGGAUGACUGCCCUAUGGGUUGUAAACUUCUUUUAUAUGGGAGUAAAAUGUUGCACGUGUGGGAUUUGGUAUGUCCCAUAUGAAUAAGGAUCGGCUAACUCCGUGCCAGCAGCCGCCGUAAUACGGAGGAUCCGAGCGUUAUCCGGAUUUAUUGGGUUUAAAGGGAGCGUAGGUGGAUUGUUAAGUCAGGUGUGAAAGUUUGCGGCUCAACCGUCAGAUUGCAGUUGAAACUGGCAGUCUGGAGUGCAGGAGAGGUGAGCGGAAUUCGUGGUGUAGCGGUGAAAUGCUUAGAUAUCACGAAGAACUCCGAUUGCGAAGGCAGCUCACUGGACUGCAACUGACACUGAGGCUCGAAAGUGUGGGUAUCAAACAGGAUUAGAUACCCUUGUAGUC